ensembl:lncRNA
CCAAGACCGGCCAUGUUGCUGCUGCUCUUCCCCUGCAAUUUUGCCCCGGACCGUCAGAACGUCGUGCAACGGGACUGCUGCCAGAUCCUGGUGCUUUUUGACUUCUGAUGACUUCAGUUCAAGUCCCAGUUGGGCUCCUGAUCAGCAGGGUAGCUGAUUUCCCAAUGAAGAAAGAGAGGAAAUGUGUAAACUUGUUGAAGUGCUCCACAAGCUCCAGCUUGCAAACCUCGCAGAGGCUGCAGUCCAUCCAGUGCUCAGACUCUCACCUAAUACAACAUACUGUAAGUUGUGAAGAAAUGUGUUUAAGUAUAAAUAGUCUCUACUGGCUUCAGGAAGUAAAACUGUUCCCUUAGUUUAGUCAACAUAUUGCUUGCUGGGGAAGCCGAGAGGCCAAUUUCCUAAGCUCACCAGUGAUUUCCCCCUGUAAAAUGGAAGUUAGCAAUAAUUGUGUGUAUAAUAUUGUCUAUUAGGUAGUGCAUAAAGGCUUGCAUUGUAUGUACAUACUGUAGUUGUAUAGAAAACAUUACAGAGUGAGCCUGCUUUUAGCUUGAUGCCUCAUACAGUGGUAAUUGAGGAGAACAGCCUUUUGAUUUGCUACUAUUUGCAGUUCUGCAGGAAAAACUAAGUUUAGGCUAUCUUGUGCUGUGCAUUGUUGCCCUGUUUAAUCUUCUGAUUCGCUAGGAACAAUUACAUGCGACACCUAUGGAGAAUUUAAUUGCUUAGCUCCUGCCUCUAUGGCAAUUGUAAUUACUGUGCAGUACUAUUUGAAAAAAAAAACUGUGGUGUUUUUUAGAACAUAGCACUGAAUAAUACCAAGGUUAGAUUCAUACAACAGCAUAGCUCCAAGAAUUAGCUUCCAGAAUUAACCCUGUGUUCUUUUGAUGAGAGCCCAGGCAAAAUAAAGCAACGGUUAUUGUAAAUAUCCUCAUGUAAAGAUUUCUAUACACACUCUUCAAAUGCAUUUAUCCACCAAAUAUAUGUGGGAGUUAGCACAGCAUCUUUUUUCCCCCUCCUUUUCCAGCUGAGGAAACUAAGGCACAGAAAUGUGCUGCCUAAUUUGUCUUUAUGAAAAAUCCAAAGAAGGGAAAAUUAGUAUGUGAAAAAUUUUGAAUUUAUAGCAUUUUCAAGCUCCUUUUACUUCUCAUGGAUGUAGCUUUGAAAGAAACAUAAUAGGCAAAAGAUGUGCCUUUUUAAGCUUUAAAACCCUAAAAAUUUCUGUAAAAUGGAACAUAAUAAAUAAAUGAAUAAAUG